GAAAUGCGAUAAGUAAUGUGAAUUGCAGAAUUCAGUGAAUCAUCGAAUCUUUGAACGCACAUUGCGCCCGCCAGUAUUCUGGCGGGCAUGCCUGUUCGAGCGUCAUUACAACCCUCAGGCCCCCGGGCCUGGCGUUGGGGAUCGGCGGAAGCCCCCUGCGGGCACAACGCCGUCCCCCAAAUACAGUGGCGGUCCCGCCGCAGCUUCCAUUGCGUAGUAGCUAACACCUCGCAACUGGAGAGCGGCGCGGCCACGCCGUAAAACACCCAACUUCUGAAUGUUGACCUCGAAUCCGGUAGGAAUACCCGCUGAACUUAAGC
rnacentral:misc_RNA from 1 species